AUUUAUUACUAUAGUAUUUACUUCAAUUCUAUUUCAGGACUCUCCAAGCUCACUGCUUGUUCGAAAAAGGAUAUAGCAACCCACCUCCAUCGGAGCUAGCCCACCAAGAGAAUCUAAAAAUUCAGAAAAAGAGAAUGAACUUGUGCCAAGUGAAACUGAGCACUGGCCAGAAUGUUCGGCGCAUUGAGAGCAUCAGUCCCUGCUAUUUUCGUUGUAUAGCUACCUACACAACGAAAUCCGAAGUCCGUCUUCAAUUGUACAUGCACGAUUCAGACGGCACCCCCUGUAAGGAUGCCGAUGCUUCGAAGAUAUGCAAGGCCCGAAAAUGCCAGUAAGGAUUAUUGUAACUCCUCUCAAUUAGAGAUGAAAAGAUUCGAAUGCACAUCUUCCUCAUGCUUUAAAAACGAACAUACAAA